AAAUAAUACAAGUGUCUUGCAAAAAAUGCAUCUACAAUAAUUUUUUAGUGAUUGUUCUAAUAACCCAAAUUCAAAACUACCUAAAUAUCCCACAGUAGUGAAUUAUUUAAAUAAAUAUGGUACAAAACCCAGUAGAGAACUAUUCAGCUUUAAAAAUGUGGUUGUAGGUAAUUUAUUAAUUGAUUAUAUGAAAAAGAGCUGAAAACAAUAAUAUCCUAUUUUAUGAAAAAAAUUUAAUAAAGAGAUAUAUGUUGACAUAGGAAAUCAGAUAACUAAGAUUACUUCUGAGCAGUAAGGUCAUUUUCUUCAUUUGGCACGUCUGAAUUUUCUAAUUUUUCUCCAAAGUUUUGUACCAAGGGAAAAAUGAUAAAAGUACAUUUUAAUUUUAAAAAGUCAUUAAGCCUGUAAUAUUUUGGCUGGAUAUAAAAAGUCUUGGUGAGAGGGGGCAUGGGACUGGGGAAAAGAAAGUAGUAGCUGGGGAGGACUUGUGUCCAUGUUUAUAUUCAACACCUUCCCCGAGAACAAAAGAGACUUUUUAACCUUCUGCUAAAAGGCAGAAUCAGAAUAAAAGUAUGAUGUUGUACAGCAGGAAAUUCCAGUUCUGAAGACAGAAGAGUUUCUCUGGCAGAAGUAGAGACAUCCAAUGGGAUGAGGCUGCCUGAACACAGGGUGGGAUCCCCUUCCCGCUAUGUGAACAGCACAACUGCCCAAGAAGGCACAGGGAUCAGAGGUGGCAUGAGGGACUUCUGUGUAGGAGUUAGCAAUCCCCCUUGAGGAGGCUGUAGAAUUUCCAGCGAGCUGCAAAUUUGGGUGCCAGAGUAUCUGCUGGGGUGUGGGAAGAAAAUGUUAGAUUUCUACUUAUACUCAUUUCUCAACAAAAAUAAAAGAGAAAUUGUGAUUUAUUAAUAUUUGUAUCUUGGCUCUGUGGUAGUUAUACAAAUCUUACAGACUGACACCAGUUACUUAUUCCAUCCUUGUUUCAAAUGGUCACAAGUCAUGAAUAGAAUGUGAUGUAUUCUGAAACUGAGAGGAAGUUACUCUAUGACUGACUGACAGUGGCACCCACUUUCCCUUG
rnacentral:lncRNA from 1 species